rnacentral:lncRNA from 1 species
UAUGUGCCUAUUCCUCAGCUGCCCCCUGCCCCUCUUCAGACCCUCCCACUCCAUGUCCCAGUAGUGGUGGGAGGUGGGGUGGGCACAGAGGGAAUGACUUCUUUCUCCUGCAGUCCUCCCUACCUCCCUAACAUGAAACCCUCCAGGUUGGGGUUUGGGGCUGCUCAUGUUUUGUGGACCAGGCCUCCAUUCAUGUCUGUUAACACUCGUCAGAUGCCAAAACUGUGCUGCUGUGGGCUCAGAACAUUUGGAAACCAAUUAAACGUGCCUUUUGUGGGUGAGGACAAGAGCCUCUGGAUGUAGAUGUCUCUCUGGCCAUGGUGUCCCCUCCCUCCUGUUGAGCACGUGAAAACGGCUGUGAGGGUCCUGAAAGGGGGCUGUGGACCACGCUGUUUACUACCCCGAGAAGUACCUCAGCUAAGGCUCUGGCCAACCUGCUUUGGAGGUGUCCUAAGCCGCCUUCCCACUUCCUGGUCCUCCCUUGACCCUUAUUUGGAGCAUCCUGGUAAAAAAAUCUAGUGCACAGUAGGUCUGGGGCUAUCCUGCACCUUACUGUGUCUGACCUUGGGUCCCAGUUAUGCUGGACCAGUGGGUUUGUCUGGAAGCAGGAGGCUUCAUUCUGCUUUAGGAGACACCUGAGCUUAGGAAAAUGCCCGUGGCUCUCCAGCUGUUCUGUCCUUGUUGUACAGUCCCUCCUGCUCACCAAUCCCUCCUGUCUUGCCUGGCUUGGCUGAAGUGCAUUCAAGUGAAGUCAGGUAUCUGCUCUGUGGUCCAGCUUCUAGCUUGCUUGUGAAUACUGCCAGUCUCCCUGGCAUCCUCGGGGGUCCUUGGUGGCUGUGCAUUACAAAAGGUAUGAGUGAAGGAGGUGAGAUGCUGACAAAAGAUUCUUUGGGCCCAGUGGAGAAGCAGUAACGUCUUUCCAGCUGUCUCUUAAAGACAGGGUCAUGGGUUCACUCAGAACACCUCAGGAGAAUAUUCUCUGUGGAUGACGUCAGUCUUCUGCCAGCAUAGAGCAGAUGAACCACAAUGGGGUCCACCACUGUGCAGUUACCAACUAUAGGUCAACUCAGAGAUGAGAAAAUAGCCACCAGUUCCCAGAGUUUGGGGGUAGGGUCAGUCCUUGGGUGUUGGAGGUGUCUUUUGAGGAACUGAGUCCCUCUUCUAGGUCUUCCUCUGGGCUUUAAUUAGUCCCAGCCCUUCUCUCAUCUUUCAUCCAUCCUUGCUGUUUGGCUUCUCUACAUGGCCAGGGCAGGGGUGUCCUGCAGAGAGGUCCUGAACUGAGGCCAGGGUUUUGUUCAUUGUCUGAUCCUUACCACAUACUGCAGAGUGCAGCCAGACAGGCAGCAAGCAGGCACAGCUCUGCUCUGCCCUUUGUCCUCCUAGUUGAAACUCCUGUCUAUAAAGAGCUUGUUCUUCAUGUUUUGAGCACUUUAUGAAGAAUAAAAAGAUCACGUACCGC